rnacentral:rRNA from 1 species
AACGGGUGAGUAAUACAUAAGUAACCUGCCCUAGACAGGGGGAUAACUAUUGGAAACGAUAGCUAAGACCGCAUAGGUACGGACACUGCAUGGUGACCGUAUUAAAAGUGCCUCAAAGCACUGGUAGAGGAUGGACCUAUGGCGCAUUAGCUGGUUGGCGGGGUAACGGCCCACCAAGGCGACGAUGCGUAGCCGACCUGGGAGGGUGACCGGCCACACUGGGACUGAGACACGGCCCAGACUCCUACGGGAGGCAGCAUG